UGCAAUAUGCAUAAAACUGUUUUGUUUUUCUUCCUCUUGAACAAGUCUCAGACUACAUCCUAGCCUGUUCUACUCUUGGUAGACAAUUCCUAAGAAACAAAUGCAGCCAGAUGUAGUAACCUAUAUUCCAACACUACCUGUGCCCUUAGGAUUUGCAUGUCUAUGGCUGAGAGUCUUUUUUUUUAGUGUUCUGAAAUCCACCACUGUACAAUCCUUCGUAACAUUAACCACAAAUGUCUUACUCACUUUUGUACACCUUCAGAGGGAGAUGAAUUUAUUUAAAAAAAAAAAAAAAAAAAAAAAAAAGAUAAUCCUUAAUAAAACCAAGGAAAUUCACACCUAAAACAUUAGGUUAAAACAGCUUGAAGGGAUGGAUUAUGGUGACACAAGCCAGGAAACUGAGAAUUAAGCUAAAGGUUUUCCUUAUGUUCCUACUGGAGUAGGGAAAUGAAGCUUUCCAACUUAAUCUCCAGGCAACUUAUCUUACUUACUGUCACUGUCCCAUAUUACUCCAAGAGAAACCUCUGUUCCCCUUUGAACAUGAGAGUGCUGGCUGGCACAAGAAGCCAAGCCAGGCUCUGUUCUUAUGGCUAGCUGGUCCAGUGAAUGAAGGGAGGACAAGUUAACAACAAAAACUCUUUUGGACAGAGAAGGGAAAGUAAAUACUUACUGUUAAUCAAUUUUGAAAAUACUGUUUGGCCUUGUACAACUCUACGUUGCUGCCUGGGAGUUGCUUUGGAGCCUAGCUUCCACAGCUCUGGCUUGAAGUCUGGUGGCAGAGCUGGCUAUUACCGACAGUGCUGCUAAUGAUCUUCCCUCCGCAGCAGCAAAGACAGAGUUAGCUUGGUCAGCCUCUGCCGUUUCCACGUUGAAUACAUGUCUGUGGCCGAGGGAGUAAGGGCAAAGACCACAUGAUGACGGGGUAUGUCCGUCACAGAUGCCUCAAUGACUUUGCUCAAGAAGUUGAGAUCAGAGACAGGAUGUUAGUCAGUUCAGUUGCUGCUAUCUCACAGAAGAAAGAACAUGUCUCUGGAACAACUAUGCAAAGCAAGAUAAAACAAAUGAAGACAACUUUUUUUGUUUCCAUCUGCUAGUGUGUCCUUAAAGCUGGUGCGAUCUGUUACAACUCGUUUUUUCCCCUCACUGGCUAUUAAAUUAAGUUUUACUGGGAGAAGAUGCUAGGGUUUUUUUCCAGAAUGAAUGCAAACAAAAGGGAAUAAUUAGAUUACCAAUAGCCUUACUAGACUAAAAGGUUCUUCAUUUUAGCACUAAAUUAGUUGGUUUCAAUGUGUUUGGACAUAGCAAUUUGCAUGUGUUUCACAUAUAGGCUCCUUUUAUAAUUCAGUCCAAUUGAAACCUCACUGCAAUUUAUUUCAUAAUUGUCCUCGUUUAAACUCACAAUUGACAGUUCUUUUUAGUCCACAAGAGUAUAUGAUUUCAAUUUCCAGUUUCUUCUUCCUUCCUCUCCAGCAUACUUCCAUACUUCUGUGCCCUCAGCACAAUGCACUGCUGCUUUUACCUUUCUACACUUAACAUCUUCUUGACUUCUGCACUGGCAGAAUACAUACUUUGAUAGUCAACUCUUUCUAGUAUCCAUGUCCAUAAAUGGUGAAUGUAUUUUCAGAUAUAUUGGAAAAGCAUAGUUUGCAGAGCACGGGAAAUGUUGCAAAUUAUCCAUCAAUAUUAUUUGUUUGCUUUAAUAAAUGUCAGCUAACCCCCCCACAGAGUAGUCACUUUUAAGUGCUUUGAGAUAACAUUUUCUGAUCAGUUGGAAGACUGAAAACACUCACCAAAAGACUAAGUGGGUAGUUACAAAAGGGGAAAGUAUCUUAGAAAGCUGAGUAUUAUUCAGGUUAAUAGGCUACAUUGGUUACACAAUUGUAUUGUUGUAAACAAAUAAAUAAUAUAUUUCAAUUGUUUCCUGUUCAUAUAUUCACUCAUUUGUAUGUUGGUGGCAUUCAAAUGUUCAAAGGAGAGAACGAAUGCUAACUGUUUCCAUUCUGUGCAAACACAAACCAAUGAAAGGUUCUGU